GGCUUUAUAUGUUUUUUUAUGGCCAUGAGCGAUCCAGCCUGAUCCAAAUUGAUGGGUAUGGUGGAAAAGUGAUUCGCUGACACUCGAUAUGAUUAUGAAGGGGGCUGGAGAAAUAUUUUUGUUUGCUACCAUCUAGCAUCCAUUGUGUUUGUCCUCGCCAAACUCUCACACAAUCGUUCGCUCCAUUUCUUUCCUUUUUUCCCCAGUUUUUGUACCCUUUUACCCUGCCAUACUGUGUCUGCAUAUCAUAUGUGCACUUAAUUUAUUCAAAGUCACGUUGCUUGCAUGAGGAGUUUGGGAUGGAAAAUGAGGAAUUCUCUCCGCUGAGUACACACAAUUGCACAGUUUUCUUUAUAGGACGAGGAGCAGCAGUGCCCAUGCCCAAACAGAAUCAUCGAAAUAUUGCCAAUAUUUGUGCUUCUACUGCUGCUUCUGCCCCUCGUGGUUGCUGUGGCUGGUGCUGCUGCUGUGCCAAAUUGCAAAAGUCAACGCGGGGAAACGAGCAGCAACUUCUGCCGCGCCGCUGACGCUGUCUAAACAAAAGACUCAAGCGACGAACUUGGACGGGGCGCGCGAGAGACGGAGUUUUAGCCUGAAGUGUGGGUGACAUCUUCAGCAAACACUUGAGGCGUUUGAGCUAUUUGCGUUGAUUGUCAAGCCAUCGCCAAAAAGAGAAGCACACAAAGUCUAGCGAUGGCAGCGGUAGUUUGCUAUUCUCCAGGUAGUGUAGUAAAGGUUUAUUGAUUUUCAUAUCAAAUAAAAUAAAUAUCUGUUGCCUUCAAGUAAGGCUUU